UGUUACUGCAGGGGUUAAGUGUGGCCAAUAAAAAUUAGAAGGUUUGCUAGGCGACUACGCCGAAGAGGUCAAAGUCGAAGUACUUGGCGGUCUAAAAUCACCUACCCGCGAGACUUGACGGUUAAUCUGAUGAUCCGCAUUUAAUUGUACUUGUUCUUGAGGUUAAUCAGUCGGUGUAUGGUCGUCAGAGGUUUAUGUCGUGAGAUUUGGGUAGUAGGCCAGAGCUUUCGAGCACUGUGUCUUUGGCGCAGGUGUUUUGGGAGUCGAGGUCAGAUCGUUAUGCUGCCUAUGGACAAGGCUUAGUUGAGUCACAUUGAGUAGAUCUGUUGUGGAUCCAAGGAAAUAGGAAGAGCCGGGUGAAAAAGGAGUGGGAAGUAAUAAAAAAUUAAAUACGUUUUUUUGAAUUGAGAACUUUUAGGUGUACAAAUCGCCC
rnacentral:rRNA from 1 species